rnacentral:rRNA from 1 species
AUUGAACGCUGGCGGCAGGCCUAACACAUGCAAGUCGAGCGGAUGAAGGGAGCUUGCUCCUGGAUUCAGCGGCGGACGGGUGAGUAAUGCCUAGGAAUCUGCCUGGUAGUGGGGGAUAACGUCCGGAAACGGGCGCUAAUACCGCAUACGUCCUGAGGGAGAAAGUGGGGGAGCUUCGGACCUCACGCUAUCAGAUGAGCCUAGGUCGGAUUAGCUAGUUGGUGGGGUAAAGGCCUACCAAGGCGACGAUCCGUAACUGGUCUGAGAGGAUGAUCAGUCACACUGGAACUGAGACACGGUCCAGACUCCUACGGGAGGCAGCAGUGGGGAAUAUUGGACAAUGGGCGAAAGCAUGAUCCAGCCAUGCCGCGUGUGUGAAGAAGGUCUUCGGAUUGUAAAGCCCUUUAAGUUGGGAGGAAGGGCAGUAAGUUAAUACCUUGCUGUUUUGACGUUACCAACAGAAUAAGCACCGGCUAACUUCGUG